AUUGAACGCUGGCGGCAUGCUUUACACAUGCAAGUCGAACGGUAACAGGCCGCAAGGUGCUGACGAGUGGCGCACGGGUGAGUAAUGCAUCGGAACGUGCCCAGUCGUGGGGGAUAACUACUCGAAAGAGUAGCUAAUACCGCAUACGAUCUAUGGAUGAAAGCGGGGGACCGUAAGGCCUCGCGCGAUUGGAGCGGCCGAUGUCAGAUUAGGUAGUUGGUGGGGUAAAGGCUCACCAAGCCAACGAUCUGUAGCUGGUCUGAGAGGACGACCAGCCACACUGGGACUGAGACACGGCCCAGACCCCUACGGGAGGCAGCAGUGGGGAAUUUUGGACAAUGGGCGCAAGCCUGAUCCAGCAAUGCCGCGUGCAGGAAGAAGGCCUUCGGGUUGUAAACUGCUUUUGUACGGAACGAAACGGCUCUGGUUAAUACCCGGGGCUAAUGACGGUACCGUAAGAAUAAGCACCGGCUAACUACGUG
rnacentral:rRNA from 1 species